rnacentral:rRNA from 1 species
AUUGAACGCUGGCGGCAGGCCUAACACAUGCAAGUCGAACGAGUGGCGGACGGGUGAGUAAUGUCUGGUAAACUGCCUGAUGGAGGGGGAUAACUACUGGAAACGGUAGCUAAUACCGCAUACCAUCGGAUGUGCCCAGAUGGGAUUAGCUAGUAGGUGGGGUAAAGGCUCACCUAGGCGACGAUCCCUAGCUGGUCUGAGAGGAUGACAAGCCACACUGGAACUGAGAAACGGUCAAGAGUCCAACGGGAGGCAGCAGGGGGGAAUAUUGCAAAAUGGGCGCAAGCCGGAUGCAGCAAUGCGGCGUAUAUGAAGAAGGCCUGCGGGUGGUAAAGUACUUUCAGCGGGGAGGCGUUACCCGAAGAAGAAGCACCGGCUAACUCCGUGCCAGCAGCCGCGGUAAUUC